AGGGGGGUGAAGUCGUAACAAGGUAGCCGUACUGGAAAGUGUGGCUGGAUCACCUCCUUUCUAAGAGAAAGGUAUUACUUAAAGGUAAAUUAUGAAAUGUAAAUUAUGUUUUAACUCUUCCUUUGUCUUUUCUAAGACUAUUUUUAGGGGGUUUAGCUCAGUUGGCUAGAGCAUCGGCUUUGCAAGCCGGGGGUCGAGGGUUCGAGUCCCUCAACCUCCAUUUAUUUUAGGCUGAAUAAAUGGAGGUUAUAAUUAGCAGUAAUGCUAUGUUGAUUGUAGCUAAAUUUAAAAUUGUUAAGGAUCUGUUCUAAUUUUAUUGUCUAGACAAUGUGUUUUUUAUUAUGUCUUUAAUUAAGUACGGUUGUUUACGUAUGGCAAGUCAUGAUAAGUGAUCUUAAUUUGAUUUUGUUUUUUCAUUUUUUGUUUGCAUUCGUUAUAAUUAAUUUUUGAUUUUCAAGAUGUGGGCUUAGGAGUUGCAAAUCACUAAGCAUAAGGCAUUUCUUUAAAUAUUUGGAUGUUUCUUGAAAUGAGUCUUAGUAAAUUGGGACCAGGAGGACUUGAACCUCCGACCUCAGGUUUAUCAGAC
rnacentral:misc_RNA from 1 species